AUGAAGUUAUUGGUCAGAGGUGACAUAAUCAGGGAAAAAUAUCCCAUACCUCCUAGCAAUUGUCCCGCUCGACCAAUGUUUUCCAUAGUGGACCCUGUGGCCCAAUACGAAUUAAAGGGAAACAAUGUAGCCAUCACAUUUUCUGAGUACACUGGUGCACUAGGGUGUAUGUCAGCCAUUAUUUCAGUUGAAAAACCCUACGAUUGGUCACUCACUAAUCACUACUUGUUCUACCAAUUUCUGAACCAGGAAAGGAGCUGUUUUGCAUCUUUGCUUACACAUUAG